ensembl:snRNA U6 U6 spliceosomal RNA
GUGCUUGCUUCAGCAGCACAUAUACUAAAAUUGGAAUGAUACAGAGAGUAGCAUGGCCCUGUGCAAGGAGGACACACAAAUACAUAAAGCGUUCUGUGUUUUU